GAUUUAUUAGUUCUCUGCUUCUGGCAUCUUGCUUGUCUUAGGCUAGUGGCGAUAAUAGUUUGAAAAAGUUGCAGAAAAAAGAAGAGGGAGCAGGGUCGCCAACUGGCUAGCCCGUGGGAUUUCUGGCAGCUGCAUCGACAUCUUUGUUUUAUUCUUGUUUUUCAUCUAUGGUCCGACAAUGUUUGCCAAAUUUCUGUCGGAGAGUGACGGAAUGUGGCAUUGGUUUGCU
rnacentral:lncRNA from 1 species